UACGAAGGGGGCUAGCGUUGUUCGGAAUUACUGGGCGUAAAGCGCGCGCAGGCGGUCUUCCAAGUCAGUGGUGAAAGCCCGGAGCUCAACUCCGGAACUGCCAUUGAAACUGUUAGACUUGAGGACGAGAGAGGUGAGUGGAAUUCCCAGUGUAGAGGUGAAAUUCGUAGAUAUUGGGAAGAACACCGGUGGCGAAGGCGGCUCACUGGCUCGUAUCUGACGCUCAGGCGCGAUAGCGUGGGGAGCAAACAGG
rnacentral:rRNA from 1 species